rnacentral:ncRNA from 1 species
ACCGCAGGGGCGCCGGCGUUACGCGGGCUGAGACGGAGCAAGGCUCCGAACCCUUUAACCUGAUACGGAUAAUGCCGGCGUAGGAAGCAGUAAUGA